rnacentral:rRNA from 1 species
GACGAACGCUGGCGGCGUGCUUAACACAUGCAAGUCGAGCGAUGAAACACCUUCGGGUGCGGAUUAGCGGCGAACGGGUGAGGAACACGUGAGGAAUCUGCCUUCCACUCUGGGAUAACUCCGGGAAACCGGGGCUAAUACCGGAUACUUUCAACUGGCGGCAUCGCCGGUUGAAGAAAGUUUUUCGGUGGAAGAUGACCUCGCGGCCUAUCAGCUUGUUGGUGAGGUAAAGGCUCACCAAGGCGACGACGGGUAGCCGGCCUGAGAGGGCGACCGGCCACACUUGGACUGAGACACGGCCCAGACUCCUACGGGAGGCAGCAGUGGGGAAUAUUGGGCAAUGGAGGAAACUCUGACCCAGCGACGCCGCGUGAGGGAUGAAGGCCUUCGGGUUGUAAACCUCUUUCAGCAGGGAAUAAGCGAAAGUGAAGGUACCUGCAGAAGAAGCACCGGCUAACUCCGUGCCAGCCGCCGCAGUAA